rnacentral:rRNA from 1 species
UAAGGGCUCGCAGGCGGUUUCUUAAGUCUGAUGUGAAAGCCCCCGGCUCAACCGGGGAGGGUCAUUGGAAACUGGGGAACUUGAGUGCAGAAGAGGAGAGUGGAAUUCCACGUGUAGCGGUGAAAUGCGUAGAGAUGUGGAGGAACACCAGUGGCGAAGGCGACUCUCUGGUCUGUAACUGACGCUGAGGAGCGAAAGCGUGGGGAGCGAACAGGAUUAGAUACCCUGGUAGUCCACGCCGUAAACGAUGAGUGCUAAGUGUUAGGGGGUUUCCGCCCCUUAGUGCUGCAGCUAACGCAUUAAGCACUCCGCCUGGGGAGUACGGUCGCAAGACUGAAACUCAAAGGAAUUGACGGGGGCCCGCACAAGCGGUGGAGCAUGUGGUUUAAUUCGAAGCAACGCGAAGAACCUUACCAGGUCUUGACAUCCUCUGACAAUCCUAGAGAUAGGACGUCCCCUUCGGGGGCAGAGUGACAGGUGGUGCAUGGUUGUCGUCAGCUCGUGUCGUGAGAUGUUGGGUUAAGUCCCGCAACGAGCGCAACCCUUGAUCUUAGUUGCCAGCAUUCAGUUGGGCACUCUAAGGUGACUGCCGGUGACAAACCGGAGGAAGGUGGGGAUGACGUCAAAUCAUCAUGCCCCUUAUGACCUGGGCUACACACGUGCUACAAUGGACAGAACAAAGGGCAGCGAAACCGCGAGGUUAAGCCAAUCCCACAAAUCUGUUCUCAGUUCGGAUCGCAGUCUGCAACUCGACUGCGUGAAGCUGGAAUCGCUAGUAAUCGCGGAUCA